UUUUCUCCUUUGACAACCUGAUCCUGUGCUUGAAAAGUUGCUUUUUUUAAAAUUUGAUCUGUUUGGCAACACUGUGCCACGGGCCACUCUGCCUGAAGGGGGUACUUACAUAUUAAUAUCUGUCAUAUGUCGGAGUGCGAAGUGCCAACAAUGUGCAGAAGCUGCAGUUUUUUCAAAAUGCGAUAUUGUGAUCGCUGACCCUGCCGAGAGUCAUCCCAUUUUCAACAUUUUACAAAAUAACUUUUCCAAUUUUUUCACAUUGUAAUUCCAAACUUCAAGGCAAUGUGUUGGUGUUUUAUUUGAUCGAAUCACGCCAAACAAAAACAAGCAACUGCACCUUCUGCACAAUGUUUUUGGAUUCCUCUGCAUGGAGUAAAACACUCUUUCUCGUUGCUUAAUUUGACGUUUUAAAAAUAAAUUUGCCUCAUGACAAUACACCAGUUUUGAAAAAAAUUUUUUUUUCUGAUAAAACGUUUUGGCGCUACUAGGAUGAAGUUAUUGGGGGGUUUUUUUGGCCGUAUCGAAAUUGGUUUAUUUUGCAAAACUGCAACGGAAAAUUUUUUCCCGCAUAACACGAGUCAUGUGAUCGACAAGCGGACGUUCCCACUGCGCAAACCACGAAGAAGAAGAUGACAGGAAGUAGUCGGAGAAUCAUGGGCAUGUUUUCUACCGACUUACUUCAUGAACAAGCUUAUUCACGUGUGAUUUAAUGUCUUAUUUAAUGGAAACAUCACAAGUGUGAAAUUGCGUCUUUUUAACGUACUUCUUCAAAGCAGAGUGUAUGGAGGUAUCUACUGGGUCCUUUGCCAUACUUCAGGGAGUUUAUGAAACUGCAGUAUUGUUCAGAAAAGAAGUCCACAAAAUGUGAAGCCAGGCUCGUUGGAGGCUUGAUUUGAGAUCUUGAUUGGUUGCAAUAAAAAGCAAAAUGCAUUUGUAUCUGAAGCAGGCUGCCUCCCCAGUUUCCACCUGCUCACUAAUAAUUUCCACGCUACUGAUGUAACAGCCAGACAUACCUGCAGUUUGCCUGUUAGAGACACAGAGGCGGUCAACAAUGAUGAAAGGUUGAUAAAUAUGAGCCUGAUUAGGCCUAACAUGCAACCAUCUGGAAAUACUUUAAAAGUUUGACUUAUGGGACCACAAAACGCUCUGAGUAAUGAUGAGAAGUGACAGACAGUGAUGUAGUGGCUGAAGGGAGACUUUGAUAUCUGUCAGUAGGACUUACUUUAACUCACUAAAAUCCACAUCAAACAUCAUUAUGCACGUGGAAAAACGCAUCAGUAGCUGUGUUUCCAUUGCAAAUGUGCGCAUAUCUUUUGUCUAUGUUCUUCCAAUGUCGAGAAAACACAAUCUUGCAAUUGCCAUGUUUCCAUUGAAUAAGGAUUGAAAUUAAAAUCACAUGUAAAUAAGCUUAUUCACGUGACAAGACCUUGAAAAUCUUGGCAGCGACAGAUGUAAACGGUUACAUGUCAUGGCGCUAGCACUCAUUAGCCAAUCAGAAGAGACGUCAGUGUCUUCUUCAGGCUUUGGAGCGACAAGCCCCGCCUACUUGGGAGCGGCUACGUAUGCAGCAUUUUGGGGAAAUGAUAGUGGAUGAGUAGAGUUAUGGAUUCAACACAUUUGAAUGACACAAAACCUUUUAUGAACACUGUGAUGCUGUGAGAGCUGCGGUGGAGCCAGCUGCACAAAACAAAAACAAACCAUUCUCCUCCUACUUCCUGUCGUCUUCUUAAGCGUUUUUGACUGUAGUAACAUCCAGCUGUUGAUCGUGUGAGAAGUAUGAUGCGAAAAAGAAUUUCUAUUGCAGUUUUGCAAAAUACAUCUGUGUUGAUACGGCCAAAAAAGCACCUAAUCUCAGUAUAAAAACGUAUCAAAACACAUAGGAACAGGCAUUUGCUUUGAAUCUCAUUGAUAGUGAUAAAAACGUGGGAGCUGUCAGUUCGACUUCCCCCUCCGUCGUAGUCGUGUUUACAGUGGCUGGAGAGAAGCGUUGCUCUUGGCUGCAGCGCUGCCUGUAAUUGGCCGUCUGCAGUGAGGGUCACAGCUGCUUGGGUUCGGGGUUGGGGGGAGAGAAGUGUGUCUGGACCUCCAGACAGCUGGGACUAACUAGUGCUGUAUCAGGUGGUUGAGCCGAGGGGCCGGAUGAGCCCACGGGGGAUGUGGAUGCCUCUUUGAUGGGCCAUCACAAAGGAAACUGAACGACUCUCAGUAGCUCAGAUCCUCUUUUGGUUGCUUAUUUCAUGUCUUUGUUGUUGUUCUUCAUCUCCAUCAACGAAACACGGUAAAAGCAUCAGCUGUGUGUGUAGCUUAUACUCCAGUUGGAAGGGAAGUGACUGCAGAGCGCCGUCCAGUUGCUGAAAUGUUUGCUUAUCUAGUGAAAUACGUGUCAGGCAGGUUAAAUGGACGUCUUGAUCGCGGCACGAUCUGAUCUGUUAGCUCAUCUGCGCAUGUGCUGAAGAAAUACUUCUGGAUUAUUCCUAAAACAUACAUCAACAAAGUGUAACGUACUUAUGUAUUUAUUAUUUAUUGUAGUAUUUUGAUACUACAACAAGUAGUAUUACUUAUUUAAUACUACUCGGGAAACUUCUAGUGGCGAUGAGUGGAGUUAAA